AAGGUUCUUUUGGUUUUGGGUGCCCGUUGCUUCAAGCAAGCGAACGGGAUAAUAGGGAAGCGGGUGCAAAUCCCGCACGGUCCCGCCACUGUGACGCCAACAUCAGGUUUCGCGCCAUUUCCUCAGUGAGCCACUGCGCACCAGCGUGGGAAGGCGCGGCGCGAAACGGCGAAGUCAGGAGACCUGCCCAAAGCCACGCGCACGG
rnacentral:ncRNA from 2 species